UAUUAUAAAAGAGGACAUCUUUGCAAAGAACCAAUAGCAGCUAGUUAGUUAGCUGAGUAAUGAACAUGCAGCUGCCUGCCUCCGGUGCUGUAGCAUCAUAAUCGUGGUGGGCGUGUACGACCAAUUCACUGCUAGCUUCAAUGAGAAAUGACAUGGGUGACUACAGUAAGCUCAAUGUUCUAGUGUCGUCGGUCGGGUUUGAGGUGACAUGAAAACUUUUAUUUGCAGACAAAGUCCUAUUUAGUAUUUGAGUAGCUGGUUUAUCUUCAAGUUACCAAAUAGCUAAAGCGCACGAGACUUCAUCGGACGUCGGCGAUUUAGCUAGCUAGUCAUACAAAAAAUCGCGAAAGGCUCAACAUGCAUUGGUAUUAAGGUCCAUAAUUGUAUGCACGUCAUUUUCGCCAAGAUGUAUGGGAUGUCGGGAUGACAGGAACAUGGCAAACGGGGUUGGAAAACACAAGCUGCUUGUCAUUGGACCAACGGAGCCAUGGUCAGUGAGGGAGAAGCUGUGUUUGGCCACAUCUGUCAUGAAGAGUGGAGACCAGAACUGGGUAUCUGUCAGUCGAGCAAUCAAACCAUUUGCAGAACCUGGGCGGCCACCUGACUGGUUCUCUCAAAAGCACUGUGCCUCCAAGUAUUCCGAGCUCCUGGAAACAACAGAGGCCCCAAAGCGGAAACGAGGUGAGAAAGGUGAAGUGGUGGAGACAGUGGAGGAUGUGAUAGUCCGCAAGCUGACAGCUGAGAGGGUUGACGAACUAAAAAGACUGAUCAAAGAAACACAGGAGAACCACAGGAAGCUGAAGAGAGAGGCUACACUGAUUCAAGCAGGACAUCUAGAUUCCAAACUGGAAGAGUUGUGGGAUGAAAUUCUGCUGAAGAAGAAACUGGAGGAGGAAGAAGCAGAGCUGAAAAGAAAAAACACAGAUGCUGCUUAUCAGGCCAGACAGGUGGCAAAGAACACGCCAAAGCGGAUGCCCAGUGUCUCCCAGUAUCUGCAUUCACCCUCAGAGUGUAACUCCCCAACCCAGGAACUCGCAACCGGUGACCCACUCGAGUGCUUGAUUCUGGACCUUACAUCCACAAAGAAUGCUUCAGGAACAGCCAGGUUAAUGACAUUUCCUGGAUCCAGUAAUGAUGAAAUCAGCCAUGGAUCACUUCUAGAUGACCAAACCCAAAAGAAACUGCUGGGCCAGAAAGCCACACCGCCACCAUCACCACUCCUCUCAGAGUUACUGAAGAAAGGCAGUAUCUUGGCCACAAAUUCCCGGCUGAUUGCAGAGGGUGACGUACCUUCUGGUAAUAUGACAGGAGCACACGACUUGCAGUUGGCCACACCAUGUCAACCUCUUUCUCAGGCAACAGGUGCCCCGAUGUUGUCUCGUCUGCUGGAGGCAGGUCCCACCCAGUUUUCUCCUCCGUUAGGUUUUAUGGUCCGUGGAGACUCUGCCUCAAGUCUUCCCUUUUCUGCUGCCACACCUGUAACUGCUGACUCCACUCCAAGCACAGAGGUGGAUAUGAUGGUGCCAUCUGUGCCCCCUGGAUGCCAGACUGUCUCUGUGAAUGAUAAGUUGUCAGAGCUCAGCGAGGAUGUGACUGUGUCCUACAUGGGAGAUGAGCUGGACCUUAAGACUGUGGGGGACAUUAUCGCCAUUAUUGAAGACAAGGCGGAUGAGGCUGCAGAGGCUUUGGAUGCAGCUGCAGUUGAGGCGGCUCUCUCCUUGUGUGAAGAGAAUGGCCACACUCUGUCUGGUGCCUGGGAUGCCGGGCCUUUCCAGCCCCAUGAGUCUCACCCCACUGUGCCCGCAGCAGCUCCACAGCCCUCUUCUCUUCACAUAAACCUCGAGGGGAGGACAGAAGCUUCCCUUUCUUCUCUUUGCAACAGUCAAGAUAACUGUAUUGCAGCAUUUCCUAUGGAACUGAGGAGUCUCCCUCCCACUGCCUCAUCCUUAUGCAACUCAAAGUGUUUGGAGAACUGCCAAAGUGGAGCACCUACACAGUUAGAGGCAAUGAGCGAGACUGGAGAGAUUAUGCGCCCCAAAAAACAAAUUUCAUUGAAUGCUACCAUAAAAUGUGAAAGUGAGAAGCAGGCACAGCAAAGACAAACCGACUCAGUAUUAGAAGAUAGCCCUCUGACAGAAAGGCAUCCCAAGGAGACAGAUGUGUAUGAUGGGCUUAGUGCCAGGGAAGGAGAGAAUGCCUUGGGGAUGAAAGUGGAUAACAAGGUCAACGGGCCAGAAGUGUGCAGAGAAGAAGAGGGUGAUGGAGUGGAGGAGUUCUCAUCAGAAUUGGACGGGGAAACAGAGCUGGAACCUGCAGCAAGCGAGAGUGAGGAUGGAUACAGUCUCCACACGGCUUCCUCGUCACUGCAAUUCCACACAACGGCAGACUCAAUCCCCAGUAGCCCUGCUUCAUCGCAGUUUUCUGUGUGCAGUGAGGACCUGGAGGCGCUACAGGCUCACAAGAUCUGGAAGAAAGCCAUUAUGCUAGUGUGGCGUGCAGCAGCCAAUCACAGGUACGCAAAUGUCUUCCUUCAGCCAGUAACAGAUGAAAUUGCACCUGGAUACCAUGGUAUUGUGCACAGGCCCAUGGACCUCGCCACCAUAAAAAAGAACAUUGAGACUGGUUUGAUACGGACCACUGCUGAGUUCCAGAGGGACAUCAUGCUGAUGUUUCAGAACGCGGUCAUGUACAACAGCCUGGACCAUGACGUGUACCACAUGGCUCUGGAGAUGCAGCGUGACGUACUGGAGCAGAUCCAGCAAUUUCUAGCAACCCAGCUCAUCAUGGAGACGUCAGAAUCUGGUAUCAGCACCAAAAGCCUGAGGGGUCGUGAGAGUGCGCGCAAACAGGACUCUACUGACAAGGUGCUUCACUAGAAUUUUGACAAAAGCAGAGUACAGAAGAAGAGACAAGGGUGAGACAACAGGCUGACUUGAAGGACUCUGUCUCCAUGUCCUCCCCUGCCUUCCUCCUUUCUCUUUUUGAUGGAGGCACCAGGGGGCGCCGUAGUGCCAUAGAAGCUGACCUCAAAAUGAAGAAAUGAAAAUCACAGCAUGAAAAUCUUGUCCAAUGGUGUCCCUGAGAAAAAGUGAACACACUUAUUCUUGCACAGAUUCUCACUCUGCAUAAUGUGCAGUGUAACCUUUACUUGCACUCUAGACUAAAUGGGUAGACUGUGAUGUGGAGGAGCUCAUUGCUUCCAAGACAGCCAUACGUACAGACAUGGAUUACAUACUGUAUAAUCCCAGAUUACAAAGGGGCAUUCUCAAAGACUAGGACAAAUCUUCCAUAGACGUAACCGCAGAUUUGGAUUUAACCGGCUCUUAAGUUUGUCAAGUUGUCAAGUGAACUUACUGCUAGCCUACAUGUGGACUGAAUUUUAGUUUACUGAGCUCCAUGUUGAACUCCAGAUUAGUGUGGAUGAUUUUAAGAAAUGCAUCAUGUCAGUGAUAAUAUGUGAGACCAAAGAGUCUGAUUAUACUAUAAUUUCUUUGCCAGAAAAGUGGCGAUCAGAGGAGCACAGUCAUUUUAAACAGGCACAUUUUUGUUACAGACCUGGUACAGUAUUAUUCAUUUAAAAAAAUCAAAAGACUUUCAUUUCAUUUUUAAAUAUCACUGUAUCGCUUGUGUUGAAUUUACUUUAUCCAUGCAACCCUUCCUGUGAAAUGGUACAUACAUGCAUAUUCUCGUCAUUUUCAGUGGUUUUGAGAAAAUGUCACAUUUUUAAACCGUUUUGUGGACUAAAGUGUUAUAACAAUAAAAUACCUUCCAACCCAUUAUAAGUGUGAAUUUACACAAAAUGUUUCCAAUCACAAAUUGAUCAGGUCAGAUCUGUCUGUGGGGGAUUUAAAUAGGUUACAUUUCAAAUCCUUAGUGUUAGUUUCUCUCUUUCAUGAAAUUGGUAUUGAGCCAGUGUCCACAUGGAACAAAGCUGCGAAAAGCUACACCACUACGUUGAUAUUCUCCCUAAAAGAAUACCGUGUGAUACACACAUUAGUGUUGACACAGAAAAAAAGUGUCUCCACUGUUGUCUUCACACAAAUGGGACCAUCACAUUACUCUGGUGUAGCACCAGUGAUUAGUUGAUUAAUUCAGCCUUCUUCAGUGUUAUAUAAAUUGACAAUGAUUAAAACUUCUCCACUUUUAUUAAGCAGAAGUCAAGACAUUUCCAGGUUUGACAGCCAUGAUGCCACUUUGUUGCUGCUGUCAUCUGCCCUCAUUUCAUUCAGCUAAAUGAGCAAAUAUAUUGUGUGAAAAUUGACCAACAGAAAGUUAAACCAGACUGUGAUCUAUUCAACUGAAUGAGUUAUCUCAGAGCAAAGCUUACAGUGGUCUCCAGAAGUGUUCAGACUCUUUUUCGUUUUACACAUGAGCAUUUUAAGGCCAUUAAAGUGCGUUUUCCUUCCACUAAUCGAUACUCAGUUUCACCUACAGGGAAAAUGUGUUUUACUUACGUAAAUAUUCAGCUCCUUAAUUCAGUCCUACUGGGAAUUGUAGUCUUCUUUCUACAAGCUUUGCAUACUGGGAUCUGGGCAGUUAUUUCAUCACUCUUGGCAGAUCCUCUCAAGGUAUGUCCGAUUUAAAACGUUUGUGAACGUCUGUCUUCAGGUAUCUCCAUGGAUGUUUUUUGGGGUUUAAGUCUGGACUUUGGCUGACCCACUCAAACAAAGAGGCAGGUCCUGAAUCCCCAUAUCUGAACACAAGCUCUGUCGGGUUCAUAAUCGCCUCUAGGCCUUCUUGCUGGCCAAGUUUGCCACUUUGGCCAAAUAUAAUGUAGGAAGGCUCUUGCUUCUUCUGAACUUCUUACUUUUCAAGUUCCGCGCUGCUCCCGUGAAGGUUUAGAAAAUGAUUUGAUGCCCCUGAUCCAUGCCUCACCUACAGGUCUACAAAAUUUUCCUUGCAUUUCCUGUCUUAGCUUUUGUGGAAACACGCAGUGCUUUGUAAUUUUAACAACUUAGAUUUUUUUUUCUCUCAGAUAUGAUGAUGGUUAAUGAUAAACGUCUUACCCAAAGGACUACAAUUGAAAGUUAGCCAGCUGGCUAACACCGGCACAUUUACUACUAAGCUGAUUAAUGCGCAAUGUCUUUUUUAAACAAAUAAAUAAAUGAAAUGAAAUCAUUGCAUCUUACA